GGUGGCUCAGUGGUUAAGAGCACUGGCUGCUCUUCCAGAGGACCUGGGUUCGAUUCCUAGCACCA
rnacentral:tRNA from 1 species